rnacentral:tRNA from 5 species
GGCCAGGUAGCUCAGUUGGUAGAGCAGCGGACUGAAAAUCCGCGUGUCGGCGGUUCAAUUCCGUCCCUGGCCA